AGUCCAGCCUCCUAGCCUAUAAAAGGGCUGCAAGAACAGCGUUUUCUGCAGGAAUCUCUGGCCCUCCAGGGUGUGAGAGGUUGGGCUUUCAAUGAAACCAACUGAUCAACCUAAAAAAAAAGACGAGCCCCUCAAAUCACUGAUCCUGCCGUGACAACCUCCCAAAGAGGAUGUCACACAUACCUGAACCAGAGGAAAGGAGUGAUGAUGAGAUCACAGAAGAUGAAGACGAUCAUAGCAGGUUCUCGGGCAAGGUUUGUUCACUGUCUGCCUGGAUUGGGCCAGGAGAAGGAGCUGGUUUCUACAUUCC